GACGAACGCUGGCGGCGUGCCUAAUACAUGCAAGUAGAACGCUGAAUUCGGAGCUUGCUUCUCUGGAUGAGUUGCGAACGGGUGAGUAACGCGUAGGUAACCUGCCUCUUAGCGGGGGAUAACUAUUGGAAACGAUAGCUAAUACCGCAUAACAGUAGAUAUCUCAUGAUAUCUACUUGAAAGGUUCAAUUGCUUCACUACCAGAUGGACCUGCGUUGUAUUAGCUAGGUGGUGUGGUAACGGCUCACCAAGGCCACGAUACAUAGACGACCAGAGAGGGUGAUAGGCAAAGCUGGGACGGAGACACGGCCCAGAAUCCUACGGGAGGCAGAAGUAGGGAAUUCUCGGCAAUGGCAGCAAGUGUGAACGAGCAACGCCGCGCGAGUGCAGAAGGCUUUAGGAUCGUAAAGGUCUGUUGUAAGAGAAGAACGAAAGUGAGAGUGGAAAGUUCACACUGUGACGGUACCUUAACAGAAAGGGACGGCUAACUCCGUG
rnacentral:rRNA from 1 species